CAAAAGGACUUUUCAAAGUUAACCCAAUUACCAAAUAAUGUGAUGAUAACAUUAACUAUCGAUUGUCUUUUUGAACCCUAAGACAGCGGGACUUCACAUUUCUAUAGUUAAGACUUAGUGUAAAGGAGGCAUGUGUCUCCCUGAGUUUCAGAGAGGAGACCCUCCCCACAAGACAGAUGUCUCUGACUAUGCAAUGCAGCUUGCCCAUGUAAACCUCUUGCAUUGUUUGGAGACCCUAUGCCAUGCCAAGUAGCUAACCAUCCACAAACAAGUGCACUGCUGUCCAAACAGAUGGACAAGGGAGAUAGGCAGCCCCCUGGAUGAACAUGGCAUGAAUUAAUGCAGAGAAGCCAAGGGUAUUGGAAAGGAAUGUUAGUCCAUGCUGUACAGUUCCAACACAAGGAGGGUCAGUGAGGAUGAGGUUUUGACUUGGAAUCUGGAAUCGAGAAGAAGAUAAAGCAUGAAUUAGAGCGCAACGGGCAAAUGUUUUAACAGGUGGGUGAAAGGCCUCCUAGAAGCUGAGAAGCUCUAGAGUGUUCAGGUCAACUUAGCAGGGAGAGUUAACGUCUUUAGCUGGAACAGUUUCUUCUAUAGGUGUGCUAUUCAUUGCCCUGGUGCUUGUGACAAUGACAAAAAGAACCCAUGGAUGAAUGCCAUCUGGUCCUGGUGAUUUACUGCACAGAGUCUCCCAAGUUGCUCCAUGCCUUUCUCCUCAGAGACUGAAGAAUCUCUGUCAAGGCCAUUCCCUGCUUUGCUAUAAAAUGUGUCCUUGGAACAGGAAUUUCUCCGUUGUCUUUUCCA